GAUGAACGCUGGCUACAGGCUUAACACAUGCAAGUCGAGGGGAAACGACGGGGAAGCUUGCUUCCCCGGGCGUCGACCGGCGCACGGGUGAGUAACGCGUAUCCAACCUGCCUCUGACUGAGGGAUAACCCGUCGAAAGUCGGCCUAAUACCUCAUGGCAUCGUCUGCGGGCAUCCAACGACGAUUAAAGAUUUCAUCGGUCAGGGAUGGGGAUGCGUCUGAUUAGCUUGUUGGCGGGGUAACGGCCCACCAAGGCUACGAUCAGUAGGGGUUCUGAGAGGAAGGUCCCCCACAUUGGAACUGAGACACGGUCCAAACUCCUACGGGAGGCAGCAGUGAGGAAUAUUGGGCAAUGGGCGGGAGCCUGAACCAGCCAAGUAGCGUGCAGGAUGACGGCCCUAUGGGUUGUAAACUGCUUUUAUGCGGGGAUAAAGUGAGGGACGUGUCCUUCAUUGCAGGUACCGCAUGAAUAAGAACCGGCUAAUUCCGUG
rnacentral:rRNA from 1 species